UUUUUAACACCCGCUGUUUGACCAAAUUGUUAGUCCCCAUAUACGGCUGCGCGUGAACAUCAGGGAGAAUGCGCCGGAGGAGCACCGCGCAUGCGCAUUGAAACUCCCGUCUGCUGGGAAUUGUAGUUUUCCUUUAAGCACGGUGAUAUGACUGACUGACUGACUGUCCUGUUAUUUUCUUAACCAAAAGGAAUUACAGGCCACACAGUUAUAUAUAAACCUUGUAUAUGACUCCUCUCUUCUUAAAGUCUUCUUAAAUAAUAAAAGUUAUUUUAAACUAACCCCAUAUCACACACCAUACCAUUCCAGUCAGUGUUGUUUACUGUGCGUUUGUUUUACACUACAGUGUCUGUGGCUGUUAUAAUGUGUGCUGUUAUUAGUUUAGUUUAUAUUCAGUGGACCUACUGAUACUGUGUGUAUUUAUUGUCUUAUCUUCUUGUUUAUUUGUCUGUAACUUCCUAAUUUGCACUGCAUAUAUCUGCUGCUUAUUUUGUACCUCACUGUUGCCACUUUUAUGUGAUAUAUACCAUCAUGACAUGUGAUGUUUCUUUUCACUUUUGACAAAUAAAACUGUUUUUAUAUCUCAA